CAACAGGGAUUGCCCUAGUAACGGCGAGUGAAGCGGCAACAGCUCAAAUUUGAAAUCUGGCUCUUUUAGAGUCCGAGUUGUAAUUUGCAGAGGGCGCUUUGGCUUUGGCAGCGGUCCAAGUUCCUUGGAACAGGACGUCACAGAGGGUGAGAAUCCCGUACGUGGUCGCUAGCUAUUGCCGUGUAAAGCCCCUUCGACGAGUCGAGUUGUUUGGGAAUGCAGCUCUAAAUGGGAGGUAAAUUUCUUCUAAAGCUAAAUAUUGGCCAGAGACCGAUAGCGCACAAGUAGAGUGAUCGAAAGAUGAAAAGCACUUUGGAAAGAGAGUCAAACAGCACGUGAAAUUGUUGAAAGGGAAGCGCUUGCAGCCAGACUUGCUUGCAGUUGCUCAUCCGGGCUUUUGCCCGGUGCACUCUUCUGCAGGCAGGCCAGCAUCAGUUUGGGCGGUGGGAUAAAGGUCUCUGACACGUUCCUUCCUUCGGGUUGGCCAUAUAGGGGAGACGUCAUACCACCAGCCUGGACUGAGGUCCGCGCAUCUGCUAGGAUGCUGGCGUAAUGGCUGUAAGCGGCCCGUCUUGAAACACGGACCAAGGAGUCUAACAUCUAUGCGAGUGUUUGGGUGUCAAGCCCGAGCGCGUAAUGAAAGUGAACGGAGGUGGGAACCCGCAAGGGUGCACCAUCGACCGAUCCUGAAGUUUACGGAAGGAUUUGAGUAAGAGCAUGGCUGUUGGGACCCGAAAGAUGGUGAACUAUGCUUGAAUAGGGUGAAGCCAGAGGAAACUCUGGUGGAGGCUCGCAGCGGUUCUGACGUGCAAAUCGAUCGUCAAAUUUGGGCAUAGGGGCGAAAGACUAAUCGA
rnacentral:rRNA from 1 species